UGAUGAUGAAAAAGAAGCAAAGAAAAGUGCCAACUUCUUUAAUAAUAAUAAAAAUGCGCUUAUGAGUUUGUUCGCCUCUUCUUAUAACAAUAAAGAUAACAGUAGUAUUGUUAGUAGUAAUAAUAGUAAUAUAUAUAACCAUGUAAAUGAUGCUAACAUAGAUAGUAUUAACGUAUGUAAUAAUAAGAACAAUGCCAGUAACGGUGGUAGUAGUAAUACAGCGCCUACUGAAAAAACUAAUUUAAAUAACACCAUUGUUUAUUCAGCAGCAACAGAAUGUGAAAAAAUUGAACAGAGCAACGAAUUAAAUGGUUUGGAAACAUGUGUUCUUUUAAAAAAAUAUGAUAGUGAAAAAUGUGAAAAUAAAAAAUGGAUAAAACACUUUUGCUGGUUUUGUUCAUUAAAUUUAUUAGAUGAAAUCUUAGAAAAAAAUAUAUAUAGAGAAAAAAUAUAUGAUUAUAUACACGAUUUAAUUUAUGAUGAAAACACAUAUUUUGAUACUAGUUCUAUGAUGAGUGUACCCUAUGAAUUUGCCAGAUUUAUGCUUAAUCAAUUUGAUUAUAAUUUGAUACAUGAUAUAAAAAUAAAUAGUUGUAUUGAAGAACAAAACAAUUAUUUUGAAAAAUUGUGUAAAAAAAAUAAAUAUCAAAAAAAGUAUAAGAACGUUAGAGACGUUUCGAGUUCUAAUAAUAUUAAUAGUAGCGCAAGUGUAAACACAUACCACAGUUUUAAUAAAAAAAAUGGCAAGGGAAUUCAUAGUUUGCGUUAUAGUAAUAAUUUAAAAAUAAGAAAAAAUGAUGUGGUUAAUAAUAAUAAUAAUAGUAAUAAUAAUAAUAAUAAUAAUAGUUUUUAUAAAAAGGAAGACUACAAUAGAGUGUCAAAUAGCAAACACAAUACGGCCUCUGCUGAAAAUUGCUACGAUGCGAUUGGUGGUAUUUCUGAUGACAUGGGAAAACAUAUUUUCAAUGAAAAUAACGCUAUGGUUGGUAUUAGCACCUAUCCCACUUCUACUAUUGCUAUUAAUAGUAGCAAAAGCAGUGGUAAUAGUAAAAAUAGCAACGACGAUAACAAGAGUAAUGAUAGCUCUGAAUUAUACGAUGAACAAUACAAAACAGCACCAUCAAAUUACACAAAAAAUAACAAAAAAAACACAUUUAAAAAUAAUCUUACUGAGUAUCAAGUGAAAAAAAAGAAGGCAUCAAAAAAAAAAAAAAAAAAAAAUGUACAAUUUUUAUAAUAAUUUGUGUUCCAAAUAUAAAUCGUUUGACUGCACUAAUGGAAAUAGCACUGACACAAGUAGUGGUAACAUUAGUGGUAAUAUCAGUAGUAACGGAAGUGAUAUCACCACCAAUGACAUUAGUAGUGAUAGUACUUACCAAUUACUAAGACAAAAAAAACGAAGGCAAAAUGAAAGCAGUAGUAAACAACAUUACGGAUCUGCUAAUAGUAUGUA
rnacentral:lncRNA from 1 species